rnacentral:lncRNA from 1 species
GCCAAACCAGCAAGAAGAGAGAAAAAACAAAAACCAAACCCUAGAGAGAGAAAAUCAAAGAAAAAGUGUGAAUUUCUAAGGAAAUUAAGUGAAAAAGGUAAGAUUUUUUCUAUUAAGCUUGAGUUUUCUUAUUCCCAAGCAUUUCUCCUUAUUUUUCAUGAUUAAAUUGCAUGUUUUCAUGGUGAUUUCAUGGCUGGUCAUAUGGGUCUAGAGAGAGAAAAUUGUUGGAUUGAUUUGAUUUUGAUAUAUGUUAGUGUUUAGUGUUAGUUUAGCAUGUUAGUAAACAAAAUAUGUAGAAAAACAUUCAUUUUUCCCAUUACCUAGCCUUAGCUGAAUUUUCAAGUCAAUGGUGAGGAAGAAUGUGAUGUUAUUUUAGGUUAUUUGAUUAUGAAAUCAUGGUUUUUGAUAUGGAAAUUAAUGAAUUAUGGAAAGAAAAUCAAGUAGGAAAAAUUGUGACAAUGAUGCACCAUUUUGGCCGAAUUUUUCCAAGAAGGAAUAUGAAUGUGGCUUUGCUGAUUUUUGGGUUAUUUGGCUGGACAUUGGUGAUUUGAAGCAUUAGAAAAAGAAAUGGGAUCAAUUGGAGCUAAAUUGGAUGCGUAUUUCAAUUUAUCGGGUAAAAGACCGAAAUAGGUCAAUACGGUGUUUAGGCAAAAUUUAGACCUUUUGCAUUCCAUAUCAUGCAUUAGUAGUCUAAAUUAGUUUAAUUUCAAUUUAGUACCAAUGUGGUGAAUUUUUCGAUUUUUUACCGUGUAAAGGUGGUGAGUCCUCCAAUAAAGGCAAGGGAAUUGCAUCCGAGGACUAGUAGCCUGAGUAUUUGAAAAAUCCCCACUCUAGACAUUGUGAGUAACCUUACCAUCAUUUUUAUUAUCUAAAGUAUGUUUUUAAUCGAUUUUGGUGAAAUUUUAUGAAAAGGAGUUUAAAUGAUAAAUUUUUGUGUUUUACAAACAAAAUGUAUUUACAUGAAAGGAUUUUACAAAUUGUCUUGAAAUCGAAUAAUGAUUUUGAAAAAUAGAGUAAUUGGAGACCACUUGUUACAUUGUAAAUUUAUGAUUUGAAAUCGAAUGGCUUAUGACAAUAUUUGCAUGAAUGGUUGAAUUGAUAUUUGUGUUGAAAUGUAUGAAAUAUGUAUUUAGCCUUGAAAGGCUGUGAAUUACAAUAAUUUCCAUAUCAUGUUAUUGAAUUUUAUUGUAUGGUGGGUUUAGCUUGCUGCAGUGGGCGAAUUUUGUGGACCAGCCUAUUAGAGGGGCACAGAAUCUGAAUAUAUAUUUAUGUACCUCGGUCGGAGAGGCGCGUAGGGUAUCUCCUGAGGUAUGGACAGAGUUCACGUCACGCCGAACCACCUCUUGAUGAUGAACUCCGCUAACGCCAAGGAAUGGCUGUGCUUUUCAAACUAAAAAUAUGUUUUAUGAUUAUACAAAAUUUUAACAGCCUUGGCGGGCUCGAGUGUAUGCCUCUUAUCAAGGUUUCAUCGAGUAUAUUUUAUGGCAUGAGCCAACUGUUUAUGAAAGUCAUAAGCCCUAAUGAGAAAUUAAAUGAAAUACAACCGUUUGCAUGGGUUGGGAUGAAUUUUCAAAUUGUGAAAUACUUAAAAUGAUGGGAUAUUUUAAUUGUCUUCUUUUACUCGGCUUUAGCUAAUUUAAAUGAUGUUUGUUUACUCACUGAGAUUUUAUAAUCUCACCACACUCCUUUCCACCCAUUUCAGGCUUAGAGUAGGCUGUAGAUAACUGGUUCCAUCGGGGAUUUCCAUUGGAUUGCGUCUUCCAAACUGUAGGUUCAUAACUUCUUUAAUUUUGGUUAUUGUGGGCUCACUUGAUAUUGUAAAUUUAAAUUAAUAUAAAUAUUGUA